CACGUAGGGCGCAAGCGUUGUCCGGAAUUAUUGGGCGUAAAGAGCUCGUAGGCGGUCUGUUGCGUCCGCUGUGAAAUCUCGGGGCUUAACCCCGAGCCUGCAGUGGAUACGGGCAGACUAGAGGUAGGUAGGGGAGAAUGGAAUUCCCGGUGUAGCGGUGAAAUGCGCAGAUAUCGGGAGGAACACCGGUGGCGAAGGCGGUUCUCUGGGCCUUACCUGACGCUGAGGAGCGAAGCGUGG
rnacentral:rRNA from 1 species